rnacentral:rRNA from 1 species
AGUGAACGCUGGUGGUAGGCCUAACACAUGCAAGUCGAACGGCAGCACAGUAAGAGCUUGCUCUUACGGGUGGCGAGUGGCGGACGGGUGAGGAAUACAUCGGAAUCUACUUUUUCGUGGGGGAUAACGUAGGGAAACUUACGCUAAUACCGCAUACGACCUACGGGUGAAAGCAGGGGAUCUUCGGACCUUGCGCGAUUGAAUGAGCCGAUGUCGGAUUAGCUAGUUGGCGGGGUAAAGGCCCACCAAGGCGACGAUCCGUAGCUGGUCUGAGAGGAUGAUCAGCCACACUGGAACUGAGACACGGUCCAGACCCCUACGGGAGGCAGCAGUGGGGAAUAUUGGACAAUGGGCGCAAGCCUGAUCCAGCCAUACCGCGUGGGUGAAGAAGGCCUUCGGGUUGUAAAGCCCUUUUGUUGGGAAAGAAAAGCAGCAGGUUAAUACCCCGCUGUUCUGACGGUACCCAAAGAAUAAGCACCGGCUAACUUCGUG